GCCAUAAUAGUUUAGUGGUUAGAAUACGUCGUUGUGGUUCUAGGAGUCAAUAGUAAUCCGACGUGACCCAUGUUCGAUUCAUGGUUAUGGCA
rnacentral:tRNA from 1 species